rnacentral:lncRNA from 1 species
GCAAGGUUUGUCUAGAGGCAACAUCGUCAAUCGUGCAUACUCCUCCAAAGUAGGAGUCAACUCCUGGGUCCCAAAUCGGAAAACCUGCCUCUCCGAUACCCAGUGCUCUAGCAUGCCCUCUAUAAAUCUUGUGGGAACCUGAAACCUCAGUAAGGUCAUAGUAUGCUACAACGAAUCAUCUAUGAUCACCAUGUCUGAUGGUGAUAUACUAUCAUACCAUGAUCGCAUACCAGCUACCACCACAAAUGGUGGGGUAUGAUCGAU